rnacentral:rRNA from 1 species
UGGGGAAUAUUGCAUAAUGGAGGGAACUCUGAUGCAGCGACGCCGCGUGAACGAAGAAGGCUUUCGAGUCGUAAAGUUCUUUUAUAUGGGAAGAUAAUGACGGUACCAUAAGAAGAAGCCCCGGCUAACUACGUGCCAGCAGCCGCGGUAAUACGUAGGGGGCUAGCGUUGUCCGGAAUCACUGGGCGUAAAGGGUUCGCAGGCGGAAAUGCAAGUCAGGUGUAAAAGGCAGUAGCUUAACUACUGUAAGCAUUUGAAACUGCAUAUCUUGAGAAGAGUAGAGGUAAGUGGAAUUUUUAGUGUAGCGGUGAAAUGCGUAGAUAUUAAAAAGAAUACCGGUGGCGAAGGCGACUUACUGGGCUCAUUCUGACGCUGAGGAACGAAAGCGUGGGUAGCAAACAGG